UACGUAGGGUCCGAGCGUUGUCCGGAAUUAUUGGGCGUAAAGGGCUCGUAGGCGGUUUGUCACGUCGGGAGUGAAAACUCGGGGCUUAACCCCGAGCCUGCUUCCGAUACGGGCUGACUAGAGGUAUGCAGGGGAGAACGGAAUUCCUGGUGUAGCGGUGAAAUGCGCAGAUAUCAGGAGGAACACCGGUGGCGAAGGCGGUUCUCUGGGCAUUACCUGACGCUGAGGAGCGAAAGUGUGGGGAGCGAACAGG
rnacentral:rRNA from 1 species